rnacentral:lncRNA from 1 species
CCGGGAACCCCGAACAUCCCCUUUCUCUACUCUUUCCCUUUGGAGUCUAUAGAGGGAGAAGCAGAGCCUAAGGCUUCAUCAGUUUGAAUACUGGCUGGGGCUGGGCAAGUUAGUGGCUCAAAGUGUUGAAUCUGUCCCUAAAGCAGGGACAGAAAUGGAGGCUCAGGAGGUAGAGGUGGCAGUGGGCGUGCAGGAGAAGCUGUAGGUCAGGAGGUAGAGGUGGCAGUGGGCGUGCAGGAGAACUGUAGGUCAGAGUGGAGAGGUGGCAGUGGGCGUGCAGGAGAAGCUGUAGGUCGGAGAGGGUGCAGAGUGGAGAACAGAUGAGCUGGAGUCACACCAUGCCCUAUACCCAGCCAGAGGCCGAAGUGAGCCUGUCACGGUAAUGCCACUGCCUGCUUGAUUCCCUCCCAUGCCUAGCCUGGGUUCUUCAUGAUCCCUGAGGCCCUCUUUGAUGUCAUCCCGCUGCCUCAAAACCUGUGUGUGCUGGUGGCUCCCUCUGCUUUCCUUCCAGAUGACUCCUUCGCUUCAGCUCAAAUGUCACCUUUGGCUGUUAAAAUCCUUUCCGGAGGAAGUUGUAAACAAUGCCUACCCCUCCUCCCGAGGUCUCUGAUUCCACUCCAGGGAAGAUUGCUCUGGGGGAGCCAAUGAGUUUGUUGGGAUUACUUCCAGAGCAUAGGUGAGGGGUUAGUUACUUGAAUAUGAGUGCUGCCCACCAAAAGACCGCACUGAAAAGUCUUUACCCAGCAGGGGUGAUGGU